UACGUAGGGGGCAAGCGUUGUUCGGAAUUACUGGGCGUAAAGGGCGCGUAGGCGGCCCGGCAAGUCAGGAGUGAAAGCCCUGGGCUCAACCCGGGAACUGCUUUUGAAACUGCCGAGCUAGAGUGCGGAAGGGGCAACUGGAAUUCCCAGUGUAGCGGUGAAGUGCGUAGAUAUUGGGAAGAACACCUGAGGCGAAGGCAGCCAUCUGGACCGACACUGACGCUGAGGCGCGAAAGCGUGGGGAGCAAACAGG
rnacentral:rRNA from 1 species